UACGAAGGUCCCGAGCGUUAUUCGGAAUCACUGGGCGUAAAGGGAGCGCAGGCUGCGCGGUAAGUCAGAUGUGAAAGCCCAGGGCUCAACCCUGGAACUGCAUUCGAUACUGCCGCGCUAGAGUGACGGAGAGGUAAUCGGAAUUUUCGGUGUAGCAGUGAAAUGCGUAGAUAUCGAAAGGAAGACCAAUGGCGAAGGCAGAUUACUGGACGUUUACUGACGCUGAGGCUCGAAGGCCAGGGUAGCGAAAGGG
rnacentral:rRNA from 1 species